UGCAGUCGACGGCAGCGCGGGGCAACCUGGCGGCGAGUGGCGAACGGGUGAGUAAUAUAUCGGAACGUACCCUGGAGUGGGGGAUAACGUAGCGAAAGUUACGCUAAUACCGCAUACGAUCUAAGGAUGAAAGCAGGGGACCGCAAGGCCUUGUGCUCCUGGAGCGGCCGAUAUCUGAUUAGCUAGUUGGUGGGGUAAAGGCCUACCAAGGCAUCGAUCAGUAGCUGGUCUGAGAGGACGACCAGCCACACUGGAACUGAGACACGGUCCAGACUCCUACGGGAGGCAGCAGUGGGGAAUUUUGGACAAUGGGCGAAAGCCUGAUCCAGCAAUGCCGCGUGAGUGAAGAAGGCCUUCGGGUUGUAAAGCUCUUUUGUCAGGGAAGAAACGGUGGAGGCUAAUAUCCUUUGCUAAUGACGGUACCUGAAGAAUAAGCACCGGCUAACUACGUGCCAGCAGCCGCGGUAAUACGUAGGGUGCAAGCGUUAAUCGGAAUUACUGGGCGUAAAGCGUGCGCAGGCGGUUUUGUAAGUCUGUCGUGAAAUCCCCGGGCUCAACCUGGGAAUUGCGAUGGAGACUGCAAGGCUAGAAUCUGGCAGAGGGGGGUAGAAUUCCACGUGUAGCAGUGAAAUGCGUAGAGAUGUGGAGGAACACCGAUGGCGAANGCAGCCCCCUGGGUCAAGAUUGACGCUCAUGCACGAAAGCGUGGGGAGCAAACAGGAUUAGAUACCCUGGUAGUCCACGCCCUAAACGAUGUCUACUAGUUGUCGGGUUUUAAUUAACUUGGUAACGCAGCCCAACGCGUGAAGUAGACCGCCUGGGGAGUACGGUCGCAAGAUUAAAACUCAAAGGAAUUGACGGGGACCNGCACAAGCGGNGGAUGAUGUGGAUUNAUUCGAUGCAACGCGAAAAACCUUACCUACCCNUGA
rnacentral:rRNA from 1 species